AACGCACCUUGCGCUCCUUGGUAUUCCGAGGAGCAUGCCUGUUUGAGUGUCAUUAAUAUAUCAACCUCUUCAAAUUUGUUUGUUGAGUGUUGGAUGUGGGGGGUAUUUCUUUUGCUGGUCUCUCUUUGAGGUCAGCUCCCCUAAAAUAUAUUAGCGGGACAAUUUGUUGACCGUUCAUUGGUGUGAUAACUAUCUACGCUAUUGACGUGAGGCAGGUUCAGCUUCUAACAGUCCAUUGACUUGGACAAAACUUUCAUUAAUGUGACCUCAAAUCAGGUAGGACUACCCGCUGAACUUAA
rnacentral:misc_RNA from 1 species